rnacentral:lncRNA from 1 species
AUGAAUGAAAGUCUUCAUGUCAAACGCUGUUUGUGUUUUGUCUCAUUACAGACGAGGAGGUUGCGCUGCCGGAACGAGGCGCAACAAGGACACAAGGUAAUUUUUGUUGCACAGAUCUUGAGAGCCGUGGAGCUGCUGUGUGUUUCCCGGUCAACGCGGGCUUUGAUCGGAACUGAUCCUGGACCACAGUCGGAGCUCAGUCGAGGAGGAAAACAUGACAAGCUGGGGGAGACGAGAGAUGGAGCUGUAAACGUUGAGACCACAUGUAAGAAAACAGUACAGAAUUAUUAAAUCUAUUAUAAAAAAAAAAUACUGCUUCACACAUCUUGUACUGCUGCAUUUCG